GAUGAACGCUGGCGGCGUGCCUAAUACAUGCAAGUCGAGCGAAUGGAUUAAGAGCUUGCUCUUAUGAAGUUAGCGGCGGACGGGUGAGUAACACGUGGGUAACCUGCCCAUAAGACUGGGAUAACUCCGGGAAACCGGGGCUAAUACCGGAUAACAUUUUGAACCGCAUGGUUCGAAAUUGAAAGGCGGCUUCGGCUGUCACUUAUGGAUGGACCCGCGUCGCAUUAGCUAGUUGGUGAGGUAACGGCUCACCAAGGCAACGAUGCGUAGCCGACCUGAGAGGGUGAUCGGCCACACUGGGACUGAGACACGGCCCAGACUCCUACGGGAGGCAGCAGUAGGGAAUCUUCCGCAAUGGACGAAAGUCUGACGGAGCAACGCCGCGUGAGUGAUGAAGGCUUUCGGGUCGUAAAACUCCGUUGUUAGGGAAGAACAAGUGCUAGUUGAAUAAGCUGACACCUUGACGGUACCUACCCAGAAAGCCACGGCUAACUACGUGCCAGCCGCCGCGGUAA
rnacentral:rRNA from 1 species